CUGUGACUGACAUCUCCAGCUCCCAGUAGCAGCCCGCUCUCUCACACACAGCCAAUCAGCGAUCACCGCUGGGAGAGGGAUGCUCCCAUUGGCUGAGGGGUGUCAGUGGGCGGGACGCUGUUUGGACCGGGACCGAGUGGGCCGGAGACCGGGAGCUGCGCCUCGGGUUUCGGCUGCACCACCGGCGGGUCGUGAAUCCUUUCGAAGGCAGAGCUGAAGCGACCGGCGGAGAUUCCGUGAGAUGUUUCAGCUACACGGAGGGCGCCCGGCCUUUCCCCGCCGAGGAUCGGGGCCUGUUGUCUGGAGUUGUCUCCCAGACCCGUCCCUUCCUGCUGGGAGACGGGAGCUGCCCCGCAGCGGCUGCCGGUGGAUCUCCGGAGCUCUCACCGCUCCCCUGUGCAAUCCGAACGGCUGAAAACCAAGGGAGAACAAGGGGCAAAGGGGCAAGACCAGAACAUGUGGGUCAAUAAAGCGACUUCAGAAUGACAUCUGUGACAGGCUGGAUUAACAUAAGAAUAAAAUCGAGCGAGUUUAUCCUUGGACAUGUGAGCCCUAUGAACAACCUGAAAUUGUAUUAGGCAUGUUUAGCACAAAUAAAAGAAGAAUUGAUUAAUUGUAAAA